GAUGAACGCUGGCGGCGUGCUUAACACAUGCAAGUCGAACGAUGAAGCUCAGCUUGCUGGGUGGAUUAGUGGCGAACGGGUGAGUAACACGUGAGUAACCUGCCCUUAACUCUGGGAUAAGCCUGGGAAACUAGGUCUAAUACCGGAUAGGAGUGCCUACCGCAUGGUGGGUGUUGGAAAAAUUUAUCGGUUUUGGAUGGACUCGCGGCCUAUCAGCUUGUUGGUGAGGUAAUGGCUCACCAAGGCGACGACGGGUAGCCGGCCUGAGAGGGUGACCGGCCACACUGGGACUGAGACACGGCCCAGACUCCUACGGGAGGCAGCAGUGGGGAAUAUUGCACAAUGGGCGAAAGCCUGAUGCAGCGACGCCGCGUGAGGGAUGACGGCCUUCGGGUUGUAAACCUCUUUCAGUAGGGAAGAAGCGAAAGUGACGGUACCUGCAGAAGAAGCACCGGCUAACUACGUG
rnacentral:rRNA from 1 species